GGAAAAUACCUACAGACUGUAUAUUGCCUGCUCAGUAAUCUCUCAAAAAAUAGAAGAGGUUUGUAUGUGGUUUUUGCUAUAGAUUAAGCCCACUGUCCCCAAGGAUACAGCUGGCAGCUGUCAUAAGAGAAAAUAAGAGGAGAAAUUAUAUUAGCCAAGGAACAACAGGCCAGAUGAACAAGAUAAAAAUAGAUUAGAGAAAAAGAAAUGGGAGGUAUAACAGCUUUGGUGCAGGUGUGAAUUGCUGUUCCUUGGUGUUACAUCUCAGUAAACAGAAAAGAUGCUUGUUGGAGUGUGGCUGCUUUCCAAUCGGGGGGGGAAGGACGUGCUGCGACUGGCAAUGGGACGAACUCUCUUUCAGAGGGCAAAGGGAAAGGGCAACAGCAAUGAUUGCAGUACAGAUCGAAUGGGAGAAGAACAGUUGCAGGUGCCAGAAGAUAUUGGCUCUGGAGACUUACUAAUUGGAGAAGAUUCUUCUAUUCCUCCCUCGCAGAUAGAGCCAGAUGUUGCUGAGACGCCUGGGAAAGGGGUUUUUAAUCAUAGAGAUUUUGUAAAUAGAGAAAGAAGUGUAAAACAAGGAAUCCGCCGGAGCCAGAGACUGGCAAAUAGAUGGGAUAAUGGUUAGCGUUCCCUUUGGAAAGUUUUGGGAGUUUGUACUCCCUAAAUUCUGAACAUCCCAGAAUCUGUUAAAAGUGUUUUGCUCGGUAGAUUUCCUUGCGGUGUCAAUGUUGCUUUCUUGGAGAGAGGUUUCUCCGUUUCCAGCUCCUGUUUCCAAGCCAAGUAUUCCAGUUUCCAGUCGGGCCGUGCCGUGCCGUGACUCUCGAGUAGACCUUGACUUUACUUCAGUUGUUAUUCCUUGUUCCUGUUUCAAGUUUGCCUCAGCGUUGACAACUUUGCUGCCUUGAUUGCUACAAAGUUUUUCCAGUGGAUUGAACUCUGUUUCCUGCCAGCCUUGUUUCCCUGUUUUAACUCAUGUACUUUGAUUUCUUGGGAGAGCUAUCGAGUUCUCAUUGUGGAUUAUAAUAUCGGACCUUUCCCUUUACCCUUUUGGAACCAUCAUUGACUUUCUAAAAAUAACUAUUCCUUACUCAGACUUUAUACCUAAUUUCCUUUGGAUUUAUAAUUGCUUUAAUAAAGAUAUAGUAUGUUA